rnacentral:tRNA from 1 species
AAGAUUUUAAGUUAAAGAAACUAUUAGCCUUCAAAGCUAAAAUUUUUGAUCUUGACUCCUAAAAGGCCUA